UAUAUAAUAGCUAAAUAAUAUUUUAUUAUUAUUACCAUGCAGGCCUCCUGUAAAUUCUACAAUAAGACAAGGAGCAUCUUCCCUCCCUUCCCCUUUCUUUCCCCACGCCCCCAUAAACAAUCCCUCCUUUCCCCCAUCCCUGCUCACAUGAAGCUUAUCACCAUGGAAGCCUCAUUCAGUUUGCAUCUCACUGAACUUGGGCUUCACUGCUGCAGCAUGUUGUAGUGAAGUACAAGGUGGUUACACAGCAAGAGAGUGAAAGCCUGGAUGAAGCCUUCGGAGGACACUUGCUAACUUCAUUGCACAGGGUACCUGUGGAAAUCCUGCAGCUGAGAGAUCUGCAGCUGGACCCAUCAUACUUCACCAUCUGGGCUAUUGAAUUUAAUUAAAGAAAAAUGACCCAGAGACUCUUAGGAAAACUUUAUUCUCUGGAACAAUAUUCACGCAAAAGACUGGCCAAACAUGCAAAGGUUGAAAGCCCAGGGCUUGGGAAAUUGCAGCUAAAGCCAUUUGUGACAACCCCACUGACAUUUGAAUUUAAAGAGGAUUAUGAUAUACCCAGUGCUAGAACAAUAAAUAUUUCCAGGUUUAAACCUGCGCCGCAGUUUUCAGAAGAUGAACAGCUCUUCAGACAUCAGCAAAUAAGUCCUAGCAGGCUUAAAUCUGUGAUCCCAAGACUGGCGGCUAGAAAGAGUCACUCUGGCAAACCAACUGCAAGGCCAUUUAGUGCUCCAGAUACUUUGCAAGCUAAAGCAUGUCAUCAGAAAGAGAAUCUGUACACGUUAAAGGAUUUUAUUUCAUUAAAACUAAACCAAAAAGUAAAACCUGCUAGUCUUAGACCAAAAGUUCACAGAAGACCAAAGUGGAACACGGAGGUUGAAAAUGUUCUGAAGUUGGAUGUCCUCUGUCAGCAAGAUAGCCAAGCCCAUUUACCGUCUACUCUUGACCAUAUGGACACUUCUCAUUGGUGCCCUCCUAAAAGUGCCAGUAGUCAGAAUGAAGAGUCAUUUCUAACAGCUUUGAUGGGGGACAAGAUAGCGCAAUACAGUAUUUAUGGGGAAGCUGGCAAAUUCGUUGCUCAACAGCUAGAGAGAGACAAUAAAAUCAGAGUCGGUGUAAAUGGCCAUUUGCCAUUAGAUGGUCUGAAAGAAAGAAAUGAAGCUCCCCUGAAAGAAGAUGUUUUUAAUCUUGAAGAAACAGAAAGGAAGAAUAAUUUUCACCUGUCUAAAUCUGCUUCAGAAGAAAAGAAAAACCUCAUCUCCUUGACUAUUGAGGAUGAAAUGGAGAAACCAAAUGCCAAAAUAAUCAAUGUGGGCUCUCCGAAAGCAAAAUCUCCCAGGCCGGUGGUGAAAGUGAGUGAAACAUACCCCAUCAUUUAUGCUGAAGAAGGAUAUAUGCAAAACUUUAUUCUGAAGAAGUGGUUGCAUUUACAUGGAGAUAAAGUGUCUGGUGACUCAGAAAAGGAAAAUGAUGAGGCACUUAAAAAAAGGAAGAAAAGACUUUCAGCAGGAUAGAUUGUCUCCAUAUGGGAAGUGUUUGGAACUGAAAUGAACGCAGGAGAUUUUCAUCAUGCUACUUAGAAGAUAUCUUACCAGCCGAUGCUAAAUUUACACAUUGUGCUCAGACCUGAUAGUUUGAACUUCUGAAUAGACAUGCAAUUUCAUUCCUAUAACUCUUUCAGUAAGCAACAUGUAAGAAUCCCACACUUCCAAUCAUUAGGUGCCUAAAUGGUGAUGCAAGUCCAUGGGCCCUUGGCUUUAUCUCCUUACAUUGCUAGAGUACAUGCAACAUAGCUGAGCACCUAAUUUGGUUUCUGAACUGAGCUAAUGUGUUUGUACAUGUAAACCCUGUAUUUGUAAUGCUUUGCCUAUAAAUGAAAUUACUGAGGA
rnacentral:lncRNA from 1 species